rnacentral:misc_RNA from 1 species
UCAGAAGUGUUCCAGAGAC